rnacentral:rRNA from 1 species
GACGAACCGUGCGAACGUUGUUCGGAAUCACUGGGCUUAAAGGGCGCGUAGGCGGCCCGCCAAGUCAGGGGUGAAAUACUUCAGCUUAACUGGAGAAGUGCCUUUGAUACUGGCGGGCUCGAGCGAGAUAGGGGUCGUGGGAACUUCCGGUGGAGCGGUGAAAUGCGUUGAUAUCGGAAGGAACGCCGGUGGCGAAAGCGCACGACUGGAUCUCUUCUGACGCUGAGGCGCGAAAGCCAGGGGAGCAAACGGG